rnacentral:rRNA from 1 species
AGAUUACAUAUCAAUAAGCGGAGGAAAAGAAACUAACAAGGAUUCCCCUAGUAACUGCGAGUGAAGCGGGAAAAGCUCAAAUUUAAAAUCUGACAGUUGUUAUGGCUGUCCGAGUUGUAGUCUAGAGAAGUGUUGCCCGCGCUGGACCGUGUACAAGUCUCCUGGAAUGGAGCAUCAUAGAGGGUGAGAAUCCCGUCUUUGACAUGGACUACCAGGGCUUUGUGGUGCGCUCUCGAAGAGUCGAGUUGUUUGGGAAUGCAGCUCAAAAUGGGUGGUAAAUGCCAUCUAAAGCUAAAUAUUGGCGAGAGACCGAUAGCGAACAAGUACCGUGAGGGAAAGAUGAAAAGAACUUUGGAAAGAGAGUUAAACAGUACGUGAAAUUGCUGAAAGGGAAACGCUUGAAGUCAGUCGCAUUGACUGGAAAUCAACCUUGCUUUUGCUUGGUGUAUUUUCUGGCUUGAUGGGUCAGCAUCAAUUUUGGUCGCUGGAUAAAGGCUUGGGGAAUGUGGCAUCUUAGGAUGUGUUAUAGCCCUUGGUUGCAUACAGCGGUUGGGAUUGAGGAACUCAGCACGCCGCAAGGGCGGGUUUCGACCACGUUUACGUGCUUAGGAUGCUGGCAUACUGGCUUUAUCGACCCGUCUUGAGUCGCCGACCAAGGAGACUAACAUGCCUGCUAGUGUUUGGGUGGAAAACCCAUGCUCGCAAUGAAAAUGCAAAGUUGAGAUCCCUGUCGGGGGGAGCGUCGACGCCCCACAUCUGACCUUUUUGCGACGGAUCUGCGUAGAUCAUGUAUGUUGCGACCCCAAAAUAUGGAGAACUAUGCCUGAAUUGUGUGAACCCAAAGGUAACCUCUUGGUGUAGGCUCGUUUGAUUCUAAUGUGCGAAACCGAUCCGUCGAUUUAGGUAUCGGGGGCAAAGACUAAUCUUGCUCGUCUAGUAGCUGGUUGCGUGGCGAGUUUCCCUCUGGCUAUGUAU